GUUAUCAAAUUUUUAUUAUUAAAAUUAUUAAUUGUCAAAUAUAUAUUUUAUUCAUUUUUCAUAAUUCCGUAUAUUUUAUUUAAGGAAAUAAUGAUAAUUAUUAACAGUAAUGUUAAUUAAUAUUAUGGUUAGUUUAAUGAAAAUAUAUAAUAUAUGCUUAAUGAACUAACAUAUUUCUUUAAGGAGUUUAACAAGCAUCUCAUCACUAAAAUGUUGUAAUGUUUCUCUUUUAAUAUAUACUAGAGAUUGAGCCACACACUCGCGAAUGUAUUGUUUUUUUUUUUUUUUACAUUUUUAUACAUUGAUAUUUUUUUUCAUAAUUAAUGUUAUAUAUUUUAGAUGUGACCUAAUAUAACUAAUUGUAUUCAAAAGACUUGGACCAAAUCAGGUAACAUGGUUAUUUUUGGUACAAAUAUCCUAACUCAUCCAAACGCAAAAGGACCCAAUUCAAAACCCACACAUAAAUUUAUAAUAUUCAAGCGGGGCCUAACUUAAAAGAAAACGAUAACCGAAAGAACAAUCUGUAUCCAAAUGGAUAGUCAAUAUUCAUGUCCAACUUAUUUUAAAAAUUAAUAAAAAGACUAUUUUUGUGUUUGGCUAAAUUAAGUGAAAUUGAAACAGUUUUUUAUUUAGUAAAAAGUUAUAUGGAGUGAAAACUUAAGUGACAAUAAAUGUUAUACAUUUUUUUAAUUUUG
rnacentral:lncRNA from 1 species